CCUACGGAGUGCUGCAGUGAGGAAUAUUGGUCAAUGGACGCAAGUCUGAACCAGCCAUGCCGCGUGCAGGAUGACGGCUCUAUGAGUUGUAAACUGCUUUUGUACGAGGGUAAACCCCGAUACGUGUAUCGGGUUGAAAGUAUCGUACGAAUAAGGAUCGGCUAACUCCGUGCCAGCAGCCGCGGUAAUACGGAGGAUCCGAGCGUUAUCCGGAUUUGUUGGGUUUAAAGGGUGCGUAGGCGGUUUGAUAAGUUAGAGGUGAAAUGUCGGGGCUCAACCCCGAAAAUGCCUCUAAUACUGUUGGAUUAGAGAAUAGUUGCGGUAGGCGGAAUGUAUGGUGUAGCGGUGAAAUGCUUAGAGAUCAUACAGAACACCGAUUGCGAAGGCAGCUUACCAAACUAUAUCUGACGUUGAGGCACGAAAGCGUGGGUAGCAAACAGGAUUAGAUACCCUGGUAGUC
rnacentral:rRNA from 1 species